rnacentral:rRNA from 1 species
UACGUAGGGUGCAAGCGUUAAUCGGAAUUACUGGGCGUAAAGCGUGCGCAGGCGGUUUCGUAAGUCUGUCGUGAAAUCCCCCGGGCUUAACCUGGGAAUGGCGAUGGAGACUGCGAGGCUAGAGUUUGGCAGAGGGGGGUAGAAUUCCACGUGUAGCAGUGAAAUGCGUAGAGAUGUGGAGGAACACCGAUGGCGAAGGCAGCCCCCUGGGUCAAAACUGACGCUCAUGCACGAAAGCGUGGGGAGCCAAACA